GAGCAGCCAUGCCGCGUGCAGGAUGACGGCCCUCUGGGUUGUAAACUGCUUUUUUACGGAAAAAAACCCCGGUACGUGUACAGGGUUGAUAGUACCGUAAGAAUAAGCAUCGGCUAACUUCGUGCCAGCACCCGCGGUAAUACGGAGGGUGCGGGCGUUAUCCGGAUUCAUUGGGUUUAAAGGGUGCGUAGGCGGACUUGUAAGUCAGUGGUGAAAUCCCUCAGCUUAACUGAAAAACUGCCAUUGAUACUGCAGGUCUUGAGUAUAGUUGACGUUGGCGGAAUAUGACAUGUAGCGGUGAAAUGCUUAGAUAUGACAUAGAACACCGAUUGCGAAGGCAGCUUACUACACUAUAACUGACGCUGAGGCACGAAAGUGAGGGGAUCAAACAGGAUUAGAUACCCUGGUAGUCCACUCCCUAAACGAUGAAUACUCGUUGUUGGCGAUAUACCGUUCGCGUCCCAACCAAAGCCUUUAGUUUACCACCUGGGGAAUAACACCGCCAGGUUGAAACU
rnacentral:rRNA from 1 species